rnacentral:lncRNA from 1 species
ACUUCUAAGAAAAAAAUGAGGUCCCUAAUGGCCUCUGCUUCUCUCACUCUUGCAUUAGCCAUCCUCUUUUUGAGUUUCCCAUCUGAAAUUUCAGCAAACAAAUACGCAUAUUCCUCUCCACCACCACCACAUUACUCAUCUCCUCCACCUCCACCGGUUCACACUUACCCUAAACCAGUCUACCACUCUCCACCACCACCAGUUCACACCUACCCUAAACCAGUUUACCACUCUCCACCACCACCAGUUCACAAGUACCCUCACCCUAAACCAGUAUACCACUCUCCACCACCCCCAGUUCACAAGUACCCUCAUCCACACCCAGUCUACCAUUCUCCACCACCCCCAGUUCACAAGUACCCCCAUCCUCACCCAGUGUACCACUCUCCCCCACCACCACCACCAAAGAAGUCCUACAAAUACCCAUCUCCCCCACCACCACCAGUUCACACCUACCCUAAACCAGUCUACCACUCUCCUCCACCCCCAGUUCAUCACACCUACCCUAAACCAGUCUACCACUCUCCUCCACCCCCAGUUCACACCUACCCUCACCCUAAACCAGUCUACCACUCUCCACCACCCCCAGUUCACACUUACCCUAAACCAGUCUACCACUCCCCACCACCACCAGUUCACACCUACGUCCCUCACCCUAAGCCAGUCUACCACUCUCCACCACCACCAGUUCACACCUAUCCCCCACAUGUUCCCCACCCAGUUUACCAUUCUCCUCCUCCUCCAGUUCAUUCCCCACCUCCACCACACUAUUACUACAAAUCACCUCCUCCACCUUACCACAACUAGAUAGCCCAUAAUUGGCAUCACACCAUAUGGUAACUUUUCAUGCAACAUAUAUAUUAUAACUUUUCAUAUUCUCUCUUUAUUAACUAGUUAUCGGUAUGAUUGUCGAGUAUAUACUAACAAGGCUAAUUUGAAAUGAAACUUCAUGUGCAAUGAAACAUUCUUUUACUGGUUAAUAUUUUAUUCUAUGUUUCAUUGAAAUUAAUAUUUUUCUAAUAGUAUUUGGUUAUUAAGGGAUUAGAGUAUAUCAGACAUAAACUGACAGAUCAAUAUAUUUGCAUUUGUGUAGGAUCUAAACAGAAAGUGUGAAAGCAAAGAAAGCCAUGCACAAAGAAGAUCAAGGGGAUUCUUCACAUAUAUUUCGUCAGCAUUUGAUUAAGAUUGUUUAGAGGGCUCCGUUUAUUUGUAUUUAAUUUGUGUUUUUGUUGUAUUAUCCACAGCUGUAAGGCACUGCCCCAAUAUGCAUGUGUCUGCAGUUGUUUUCAUGCAUUGUAAUUUUCAAAGUUCGGCUUUGUAUCAAGCUGACUCACAAACUAAAUAAAUAUAUAUCCCCUAUUAUAGUAAUCUGUCCCUUUCAUCUAUGACUCCUUUUAUAUUACUAUUCUUGUGAUAAAAAUAAUCUGUGUUUAUUUGUUUCUACUAAUUAUUUUUGGUUUACCUUUCUCCG